GAUGAACGCUAGCGGCAGGCUUAACACAUGCAAGUCGAGGGGUAGGAGAAGCUUGCUUUUCUGAGACCGGCGCACGGGUGCGUAACGCGUAUGCAAUCUACCUUUCACAGAGGGAUAGCCCAGAGAAAUUUGGAUUAAUACCUCAUAGUAUAAUUGAAUGGCAUCAUUUAAUUAUUAAAGAUUUAUCGGUGAAAGAUGAGCAUGCGUCCCAUUAGCUAGUUGGUAUGGUAACGGCAUACCAAGGCAACGAUGGGUAGGGGUCCUGAGAGGGAGAUCCCCCACACUGGUACUGAGACACGGACCAGACUCCUACGGGAGGCAGCAGUGAGGAAUAUUGGACAAUGGGCGCAAGCCUGAUCCAGCCAUGCCGCGUGCAGGAUGACGGUCCUAUGGAUUGUAAACUGCUUUUAUACAGGAAGAAACCCCUCUACGUGUAGAGACUUGACGGUACUGUAAGAAUAAGGAUCGGCUAACUCCGUGCCAGCAGCCGCGGUAAUACGGAGGAUCCAAGCGUUAUCCGGAAUCAUUGGGUUUAAAGGGUCCGUAGGCGGUCAGGUAAGUCAGUGGUGAAAGCCCAUCGCUCAACGGUGGAACGGCCAUUGAUACUGUCUGACUUGAAUUAUUAGGAAGUAACUAGAAUAUGUAGUGUAGCGGUGAAAUGCUUAGAGAUUACAUGGAAUACCAAUUGCGAAGGCAGGUUACUACUAAUUGAUUGACGCUGAUGGACGAAAGCGUGGGUAGCGAACAGGAUUAGAUACCCUGGUAGUCCACGCCGUAAACGAUGGAUACUAGCUGUUGGGAGCAAUCUCAGUGGCUAAGCGAAAGUGGUAAGUAUCCCACCUGGGGAGUACGAACGCAAGUUUGAAACUCAAAGGAAUUGACGGGGGCCCGCACAAGCGGUGGAGCAUGUGGUUUAAUUCGAUGAUACGCGAGGAACCUUACCAAGGCUUAAAUGUAGAUUGACCGGUUGGAAACAGACU
rnacentral:rRNA from 1 species